UUUUUCAGCUUACUUUUUUUUGAAGUUCUUUUAACUUACUGCUAAUAAAUUAGAUUAUAACAAUGUUAAAGAUGAAUCAAUGGUCGUGUGGAGGGAACAGGAUUGUCUGCAGACUGCAGUUACGGCACCGCUGCGGUUGAGUCCAUGGUUGAGUUCAUGAAGCAUAGGGUCCGCCUGUCAGCUGUGCAUGUUAUUGCUGCACGGUAACUACAGAGAAUCUACUCGAUCGUAUUUUCUUCACCCCCGGUUAGCACUAGCAAUUAAUUAAUUAAUCGGCUAUUACAGAUUAAUUAGCCUGAGCAUCCAUUACAUCGGUUAAGUUAACAGUACCACAAUACCACGAGACAUUGACCAUGCUUGCACUGCGACGAUCGAUGAAGCUAGCUAGUAGCUAGAACCUAGCGCAGUCGCCGCGAUGGAUUAUUCGGAGCUUGGAGCUGCCGGAGGGAAGCCUGUUGCCGCACCGCCAUGCCCUGCGAACCCUUGCUGCCCUUCCUCGCUGAAGCUGCCCGAGGCGCCC
rnacentral:lncRNA from 1 species